AAAGCAGUGUACCUUUAAGAGGAAAAAGAAAGCCGGAAGUAGCUCGAACGCGGCAAGAGACGUCUCUCACACAGUUUAGUGGAUCGAUGAUUGAAGAGAGCUUGGAAGGAGAUUGUUGAGGACUCAGAAAAUGGUCUGGGAGAAACUCAGCUAAGCAGGUGAGGAUCUGAUCCGUCCUGUGGAUGGAAACCACUUGGAACCCCAGUCAACAGAGAGGCACAGCAAAGAGCACGCAUCCGUUGAGGAGGACGCAAAACAACAUUCUGCAAGUGGAGCAGCAAGGCUUGGCAUGUUGCCCCCUUCCAGCGCCCAGUGCCCACACAACUUUGAAGAGUGAUGCAUUGAUGAUGAUGGCAGACAACAAUGGCAGCACGCACGUUUUUGGCACAUUUCUUUUCCGCAACCAGUGGCAUGUGAUCACUGUGCAAUGCACAACUAUGUAGAGGCAAGCAAUCUUUGAAUUAAAAUGCUGACAAC